rnacentral:snRNA from 1 species
GUGCUUGCUUAGGCAGCACAUACACUAAAAUUAGAAUAAAGAGAACAUUAACACGGCUCCUGCACAAGGAUGACACACAAAUUCAUAAAGUGUUACAUUUUUUU